AUGGGGCUGCACUGGGGCUGUGCUGGGGGGGGGGGGGUUAUACUGGGGGGAACUGGGCUAUACUGGGAGGAACUGGGGGGAAUUGGGGGGGGACUGGGGGGAUACUGGGCUGUACUGGGAGGAACUGGGGGGAAUUGGGGGAGUACUGGGGGGAUACUGGGCUGUACUGGGAGGAACUGGGGGGAAUUGGGGGAGUACUGGGGGGAUACUGGGCUGUACUGGGAGGAACUGGGCUGUACUGGGGGGAACUGGGGUGUUACUGGGCCAUACUGGGUGAACCGGUCCCUACCUGUCCAUACUGGUCCAUACUGGUCCUUAGUGGUCCAUACUGGUCCUUACUGGUUUGUACUCAUACUGGUCUAUACUGGUUCCCACCAGUCUAUACUGGUCCAUUCUGUUCCAUACUGGUCUCUACUGGUCCUUACUGGUCCAUACUGGUCCCUACCAGUCCUUAUGGUCUAUACUGGUUCCUACUGGUCCAUACUGGUCCUUACGGUCUAUACCUGUCCCUACCUGUCCCUAUUGGUCCCUACUGGUCCUUACUGGUCCUUACUGGUCUGUACUCAUACUGGUCCAUAUUGGUCCCUACUGGUCCCUACUGGUCCAUACUGGUCUAUACUGGUCCCUAUGGCCCCUACCAGUCUCUACUGUUCCAUACUGGUCCCUACUGGUCCUUAUUUUCCCUACUGGUCCUACUGGUCCCUAUGGUCCAUACUGGUCCAUACUGGUCCUUACUGGUCCUUACUGGUCCACACCAUUCCAAUGCUGCUCCAUACUGGCGCAUACUGGCGCAUACUGGUGCAUACUGGUGCAUACUGGUCCAUACUGGUCCAUACUGGUCCAUACUGGCCCGCAGGCCAUGCCGGACGCCGACCCCCGCCUGGACCCGGGCCGUUGGGCCGCAGCCAGUUUCCGUAUGCGGGGGUCUCCUUCCCCAGCCCCCCCCCCCAGACCCAGGCCCUCCUUUUGGCGCCGGCUGGGCGGGUGCUGCGGGUGCUGUGGGUGCUGUCGGCGCGGCCGUGA
rnacentral:lncRNA from 1 species